AGCAGCCGCGGUAAUUCCAGCUCCAAUAGCGUAUAUUAAAGUUGUUGCAGUUAAAAGCUCGUAGUUGAACUUCAGGCCUGUCCAGAUGGUCCGCCUUAAUUGGUGUGUACUGUCCUUGGGUGGGUCCUACCUUCUGGCGAAGCGGCAUGGCCUUAGUUGGUUGUGUCGGGGAACCAGGACUUUUACAUGAAAAAUUAGAGUGUUCAAAGCAGGCAAUAAUGCUCGAAUACAUUAGCAUGGAAUAAUGGAAUAGGACGAUGGUUCUAUUUUGUGUUCUAGGACCGUUGUAAUGAUUAAUAGGGAUAGUUGGGGGCAUUAGUAUUCAAUUGUCAGAGGUGAAAAUUCUUGGAUUUAUUGAAGACUAACUACUGCGAAAGCAUUUGCCAAGGAUGUUUUCAUUAAUC
rnacentral:misc_RNA from 1 species